rnacentral:misc_RNA from 1 species
UAUUAGAACUGUUGUCUGUUAUAACAUUAAAGAAGCUUUAAAGUAUUCAAAUGAAGCAGUAUUUUUAAUUCUCAAAAAGAAGUGUUCAAAUGAAGCAAGUUCCUCUAGGAUCCAUGUCAUUAAUAUAUCUCUCUCUUUUAUUACUUCAAAGAAGAGAAAAGAUAUCAACUCAGUAACUCUUAACUGAAGGAGGUAAGUUGAUACUUUUGAAACGAAGGAUGCAUAAAAUAGUAUCCUCGAAAUUUCUUGAGUCCCUACAAUACUACCAAACAUCAACAGUUUUAGCAUAUUUAAUAGGUCAAAUUGAGCACCAGGAAAG